UGUCAUAUGGUGUAAGUGGCAGCCCGCUGGGGAUGAACCCUGGAGGUACAGGUUCGAGCCCUGUUAUGACGA
rnacentral:tRNA from 1 species